rnacentral:tRNA from 1 species
AGCCCCGAGGUGUUAACAUAAUAGAUUGCAAAUCUGGAGAGGUCGGCUAAAACCCGACCGGGGCUU